rnacentral:rRNA from 1 species
UGGGAUAAGCGCUGGAAACGGCGUCUAAUACUGGAUACGAGUGGCGACCGCAUGGUCAGCUACUGGAAAGAUUUAUUGGUUGGGGAUGGGCUCGCGGCCUAUCAGCUUGUUGGUGAGGUAAUGGCUCACCAAGGCGUCGACGGGUAGCCGGCCUGAGAGGGUGACCGGCCACACUGGGACUGAGACACGGCCCAGACUCCUACGGGAGGCAGCAGUGGGGAAUAUUGCACAAUGGGCGCAAGCCUGAUGCAGCAACGCCGCGUGAGGGAUGACGGCCUUCGGGUUGUAAACCUCUUUUAGCAGGGAAGAAGCGAAAGUGACGGUACCUGCAGAAAAAGCGCCGGCUAACUACGUGCCAGCAGCCGCGGUAAUACGUAGGGCGCAAGCGUUAUCCGGAAUUAUUGG